rnacentral:rRNA from 1 species
UGGGGAAUUUUGGACAAUGGGCGCAAGCCUGAUCCAGCCAUGCCGCGUGCGGGAAGAAGGCCUUCGGGUUGUAAACCGCUUUGUCGGGGAANAAAUCUUCUGAGUUAAUACCUCGGGAGGAUGACGGUACCUGAAGAAUAAGCACCGGCUAACUACGUGCCAGCAGCCGCGGUAAUACGUAGGGUGCAAGCGUUAAUCGGAAUUACUGGGCGUAAAGCGUGCGCAGGCGGUUUUGUAAGACNGAGGUGAAAUCCCCGGGCUCAACCUGGGAACUGCCUUUGUGACUGCAAGGCUUGAGUGCGGCAGAGGGGGAUGGAAUUCCGCGUGUAGCAGUGAAAUGCGUAAUAUGCGGAUGGAACACCGAUGGCGAGGCAAUCCCCUGGGCCCUGCACUGACGCUCAUGCACGAAAGCGUGGGGAGC